GUAGUCUUCUGAAGCACAACAGAGCCCCGAUACACGGAAGAGUCUUCUACAUCACUGAUGGGAGUUGGGGUUCGACUUUUUAAGCCAUCUUCUAGCUUAAACUAUCAUAUCAAAUUAUAAUGAUUCGGUACGCAAUGAAUCAAGCUGUAGGUUCAGAUUCUGCUUGAGUUUUGGGAGAAUAAAGAGAGGUAGUUGCUGGAUGCUCCGACACCCUCUGCCACCAACAACAGUUCUCCAGUGGGCCUGCUUCUUGAAGACUACGCUCGGCAUCCUCUUUACAGUGGUUGUGGGCCGGAAUUUAUAAGAAGUGGCGACGAAAAAUAUUUUGGCAGAUCAUCGGCGAUGUAUUGAAUCGGCAUGUAAGAAUUUAGACAUAUUUUGAAGACUUUACAUUUGAUAGCAUGUGGAAAUGACCAAAAUACUAUUAUUGUGUUUUGUUUUUUGGUUGUGUUGGGUGAUUGUAUUAGGUGACGAUGCAGUGAUACUCUAACAUACAUGGUUCUUGUGAGACAAUUUAAAUUACUUAGUUUGAUUCAGUCUUACUUAUGUUGUCCCAAACUUGUAGAUGAUUAGUUCUUUCAACUUCUUUCAAUCUUCUUUCUAUAAAUCUUCUUGGGUGAGCAUA